rnacentral:rRNA from 1 species
UACGAAGGGGGCUAGCGUUGCUCGGAAUCACUGGGCGUAAAGCGCACGUAGGCGGCUUUCUAAGUCAGGGGUGAAAAUCCUGGAGCUCAACUCCAGAACUGCCUUUGAUACUGGGAAGCUCGAGUCCGGAAGAGGUGAGUGGAACUCCGAGUGUAGAGGUGAAAUGCGCAGAUAUCAGGAAGAACACCCGUGGCGAAGGCGGUUCUCUGGGACGGUACUGACGCUGAGACGCGAAAGCGUGGGGAGCGAACAGG